GCCCAGCUAGCUCAGUCGGUAGAGCAUAAGACUCUUAAUCUCAAGGUCAUGGGUUUGAGCCCUGUAUUGAACA
rnacentral:tRNA from 1 species